GGAAAUCAGAAAGCUCUACAAGGUAGACUGAGAUCAGUGGCACAAGAUGCCAAAGAUUGGCGAUAUAGAUGACAACAUGCCCGGGAUCUCUAGAAGCUUCGUUAGGAUUGGCAUUUGACUUGGCCUAUGACGUGAAGGUCUAGAAUUUACACACGUGAAACUUUGGAGGGGGUGGUGGUGGUGAGUUGUAAAUGAGGGUGUAUGCGGGGAAGCAACACUUAGUCCUGGAAGCUAAGGAGUAAGAGGACAGAUGUGUAGAUAUGUUGUACUGUAGACGGAAGCGGAUUAUAGUAGGCUUAAUUCGGUAGAUAACUGCGAGCCGUUGACGUUUUGUAAACUGGACAAGGAUAUGGGCAGGGCUGUUUAACUGGAAAUCACUUGUCUCUGGUUCGUGAAAAGACAGAAAGCGAAUCAGGUGAAGCAAGAGAUACUGUAGACCUGCACCAGGUUACUAUUACUGGAAAAGAAUGGAUGGAAAAAACAUACCAGAUAGGCUGGUCAGGAAAUGAUGACUAAUUAGGAAUGGAAAUGGGAUGAGUGGGAGGGAAAACCCAAGACUGGAUUCUUCUCUGAACGAUUCAUGAGCUAAAAAUGUAUUCUGGCUGGGCACGGUGGCUCACGCCUGUAAUCCCAGCACUUUGGGAGGCCGAGGCGGGCGGAUCAUAAGGUCAAGAGAUAGAGACCAUCCUGGCCAUGGUGAAACCCCGUCUCUACUAAAAAUACAAAAAUUAGCUGGGCAUAGUGGCACGUGCCUGUGGUUCCAGCUACUCGGGAGGCUGAGGUGAAAGAAUCGCUUGAACCCAGUAGGCGGAGGUUGCAGUGAGCCGAGAUUGCGCCACUGCACUCCAGCCUGGCGACAGAGCAAGACUCCGUCUCAAAAAAAAAAAAAAAAAAGUAUUCUAUUGGUUUUCCCAUGAUUUUGCUGAUUCCCCUGUGUUGUGGAAUUACAAGCCUUUCAUCACAAGAAUAUUCUAAAUAUUUUUCAGACUUAGGUUAUUUAUCUAACACCUGGAGGGUAUGGACAGAUCAGUUGGCACAAGUUGAUUACAACUUCUGGCAGACAAGCUUCUUGGAAGUCAUUAAAGCCUCAGUUUCAGUUUCUUUAUCUAUAAAGCAUAGAAUCGCCGGGCGCGGUGGCUCACGCCUGUAAUCUUAGCACUUUGGGAGGCGGAGGUGGGUGGAUCACCUGAGGUCAGGAGUUCAAGACCAGCCUGGCCAUCAUGGUGAAACCCAAUCUUAAAAAACAAAACCAAACAAAAAACAAAACACCCCCCCCCCAUAGAAUCAUACCUUAAUCAUUAGAUGAAAUAAAAGGUGAUAAUAUUGUGACUGGGCGGGGUGGCUCGUGCCUGUAAUCCCAGCACUUUGGGAGGCCGAGGGGGGCGGAUUAUGAGGUCAGGAGUUGGAGAUCAGCCUGACCAACGAGAUGAAAACCCGUCUCUACUAAAAAGAAAAAAAUUUUGCCGGGUGUGGUGGCGCCCGCCUGUAAUCCCAGCUACUCUCAGGAUGCUGAGACAGGAAAAUCGCUUGAACUCGGGAGGCAGAGGUUGCAGUGAGCCAAGAUCGUGCCACUGCACUCCAGCCUGGGAAAGAGGGAAACUCCAUCUCAAAAAAAAAAAAAAAAAAAAAAGGUGAUAAUAAGCCACUCUAGGCACGCUGCCUAUGGGGUAGCCCUGCUUCACAAGGAGCAGUAGUUGUAAAAAGAACAUUUUUUUAAAAGGUGAUAAAAUUAGCCUAUAAAAAGUUUUUUGCAAAUAUAGCAAUGCUGAUUUUGAAUCUAGGUGGUGGGUAUACAUGGGUAUAGAGACUAUGGCAAAAAUGUUCCCUUUGCCUUCUGAAGUUCGCUGAAAAAUCAACUCACAAAAGGCAGAUUAAUGGGAGGAGAAAAGGCACAUACAUUCAUUAACAUUUGCUCAGGGAGAAUCACACAGUGAUUUCCCACACACAACGGGGUUCAGAAGCUUGUCUAUCAUCCUGGAAAACAGAUUUGGGGAGAGGGGAGCUGAGGCAUUCUGUUGAGGGGAUAAAUAGGGAAAAGUGGAUGGAUCAGGGCACAGGGAUGAACUUGCACCAAGGGGUCUGUUCAGGUGAUUAUAUUUUUGGUCUUACAGGGAGGGAAGGAAAAACAAGUUGUUCCUUUUGGUGAGUCUGGAUUGUAGCCAGAUAAAGGAGCUUCAUCUUCCUCUUGUGCUUUGGGAGAGAUGGUACAGGACAGUGAGGUCAGAGAGACCUCGAGGCUUCAGUUCAUUCAGCAAGUCAAAGCCCCAUAUUUUGGGGUAUCGGUUUCUGAGUCCCGGCAUGAGUGUUCACUUACAAUUAUUUCCCCCCCAAAUAUUUGGAGAGUUUCAUAAUAAAAUAUUGGGGAGGGCCAGUGCAGUAGCACAGGCCUGUAAUCCCAACACUCUGGGAGACCAAGGUGGGUGGAUCACCUGAGGUUGAGAGUUCGAGACCAGCCUGACCAACAUGGAGAAACCCCAUCUCUAUUAACAGUACAAAAAAAAAUUAGCCAGGUGUGGUGUUGCAUGCCUGUAAUUUUAGCUACUCCGGAGGCUGGGGCAGGAGAAUUGCUACUCAGCAGGCGGAGUUUGUAGUGAGCCAAGACUGCACCUUUGCACUCUAGCCUGGGCAACAAGAGCAAAACUCCGUCUCAGAAAAAAAAAACAAACUAUCACGAUACUGGUGGGAGUGUCUUUUAUCAUGCUAAUGCAUUACAAUUAGUACACUAUGAGCAGUGAGGACAACCAGAGGUCACCUUCAUCACUGUCUUGGCUGUGGUGGGUUUUGGCUGGUUUCUUUUUUUUUUCUUUUCUCUUUCUUUUUUUUUAAAGAUGGAGUCUCCCUCUGUCACCCAGGCUGUAGUGCAAAGGCGCCAUCUUGGCUCAUUGCAUCCUCUGCCUCCUGGGGUCAAGCGAUUCUCCUGCCUCAGCCUUCUGAGUAGCUGGGACUACAGGCACGUGCCACCACAUUCAACUAAAUUUGUAGUAGAGAUGUGGUUUCAUUAUAUUAGCCAGGCUGGUCUCAUACUCCUGACCUUGUGAUUUGUCCACCUUGGCCUCCCAAAGUGUUGGGAUUACAGACGUGAGCCAAGGCACUCGGCUGGCUGGUUUCUUUAUCAAAUCCUCUUUCAUCAGCUGAUCUAUAUCUUGUGCCGACCUCCUAUCUCAUCCUGUGUUAGAAACCCCUAACCUCCUGACAAUGCAGCCCAGUAGGUCUCAGCCUCCAUUCAAGAUGGAGUUGCUCUGGUUCCAGCACCUCUGACAUAAAUACCUAAUUGCCUAGAGUCAGGAGAGGCUUUUUGAAAAAGUGACUGCCAAGUGGAGAGGUAUCACAGAGGAUAUCCACAGAGAAGAGAACACUAAGGCAAGGAAAGAAGGUGUGUUCCAGGAACAGCAUGUACUACAAUUUGAUAAGGGUUGAAUGUGGGGUGCUCACAGGGAGUGGCAGCAGAUGAGGUGGAAGCCGUGGGCAAGAACCCAAGGUGACAGCUUUGAGAGGAGUUUGGACUUUAUCCUGAAGGUUCUGUGGACCCACUGAAAGGCUAAACAGACAGGUUGUACUAACACAAUUGCAUUCUUGAAGGAUUAUUGGAUCAUUCUACCAGCAGUGUUGAAAUGGAUAAGGACAGUGACGAUGAGGAAGAGUGUAUACAGGUUCAGAAACUCUGGAGAUGGGGCAGGGUAUGUAUUGGUUAUUAGUUCAUUUUUUAUUAAAUUUUUUGAGAGGUUUCUUUUUGUCAUCUAGGCUGGAGUGCAGUGGUGAGAUGAUAGCUCACUAUAACCUCCAAUAUCUGGGCUCAAACGAUUCUCCUGCCUCAGCCUCCCAAGCAGCUGAGACUACAGGCAUGCACCAUCAUGUUUGGAAAACUCUGCCCCUACCGCAAAAUCUCUCUCUCUUUCCCUCCCCCACAAAGAGGCUCCCUUAUCUCUCACUUUACAUACCGGCCCUAGCCCUCCCGCCGCCCAGCUUCCCGCCCAGCAGUUCAAACUGACCAACAGUUGCCCACCACCUCGGCUUUUGGCUUCCCCACCCCCCAGCCCUUCAGCCCCCUAUAAAACAACCCUGCCCCUCUGAGCGGCGCGGCCAUUUUUCCUUUUCGUCCCGGCUGGCCUGCCCGGAGGCUCUUUCCUCUCAAUAAAGCCUGAACUUAAGGAAUUUCCUCUAGCCUGCGGUCCGGUUUUUUCCGAACGAGCUCAGUCUUCCCGCAGAGGGUAGGUCGGACAAAUGGUGCCGGAAACCCGGGACGGGAGCUGAGGCCGUUGGCCCGGCCACGGCCCCCCUCCCCGACCUACCCAACACUGGCCCUGCCACCUCCACGUUCCGAUUAAGGCUGGAUUGAAGCUUACCCCACAGCCUCUGAGUCUGCCGGGACAGUAGCCACUCAUCUCAUUCAAGACAUCAUCCCACGCUUUGGACUCCCAGCUACCAUACAGUCAGACAACGGCCUAGCCUUUAUCUCCAAAGUCACUAAUGCCGUUUCUACCUCUCUAGGAAUUCAGUAGAAGCUACAUGCCGCCUACCAUCCCCAGUCCUCUGGUAAGGUAGAACGGGCCAAUGGCCUAAUAAAGGAGCAUCUGACCAAGCUCAUGCUUGAGCUCCGCCAAUCCUGGGUAACCUGACUUCCUAUCGCCCUCACCAGAGUAAGAGCAAGCCCCCGGGGCCCAUCACAGCUUAGCCCAUUUGAGCUGCUGUAUGGUUGCCCCUUCCUGCUUUCAACUCCCCCACCGCCAGAGACUACUCCUCUAGACAGCUACCUCCCCUACUUUACUCAGGAUUAGGAGGAGGGGCACUAGUCCACUCUCACCUGGCUAUAGCCCGACUGACCUCGCAAUUCCAAGCAGCUAUUAAUGACUCUACUGAGUCUUUAGCAUCACUCCAAUGACAGAUCACCUCAGUUGCCCAAGUUGCCUUGCAGAACCGAAGAGCCCUGGACCUGCUCACUGCUGAACGAGGAGGGACCUGUAUCUUCCUACAAGAAGAGUGCUGUUACUACAUCAAUGAAUCCGGCCUAGUAGAAACCCGAAUCGAGAGCCUCCAGAAACUCAAAACUAACCUGUAGAGUCAGAAGUUCUCGGCUGAAGCCACAGCGUGGUGGUCUUCCUCUAUGUAUACCCUCUUGUCACCAUUGCUUGGGCCCCUAAUAGCUGUUUGCCUAAUCUUACUUAUUGCUCCUUGCUUUCUCCAGUUCCUACAGCGGCUCUUUCAAGAACUGACUGGAGUCACCAUCCACCAGAUGCUGCUCCAACCCCACCCUGAACGAGUGCAAGAAACAGACCUCUCCCCAAA